rnacentral:RNase_P_RNA from 1 species
GGAGACGGCCGGGGGGCCGCUCCUUGAGCCCGCGAGGGCGCAGGGGGAGGAACUUCCGAACUCCACAGAGCGCGGCGCCUGCUGAAAGGCAGGGACUCCCGGGCGUAAGCCCGGGGGGACGGAAAGUGCCACAGAGAACAUACCGCCCCUGCGUGUAUCGGGGUAAGGGUGAAAAGGCGAGGUAAGAGCUCACCGCCCCUGCCGCAAGGCAGGGGGCACGGCAAACCCCGCUGGGAGCAAGGCGACGAGGCGGCUUGCGCUGCUCGCGCGGUCCUGGGCCGCGAGGCUCAAGACAGGCCGCCCGGUGGCCGCAGGACCUGGACGCACUCAGGCCCCCUUCCCCGGCGACGGGGAGGGGAGAGAAAUGGUCCCCCAUCCGCCGCGAGGCGGAGGACAGGAUUCGGGGUACAGGCCGUUUCCUUCG